UUCCAGACUCCUACGGGAGGCAGCAGUGGGGGAUAUUGCACAAUGGGGGAAACCCUGAUGCAGCGACGCCGCGUGGGCGAAGAAGUAUUUCGGUAUGUAAAGCCCUAUCAGCAGGGAAGAAGAAAUGACGGUACCUGAGUAAGAAGCACCGGCUAAAUACGUGCCAGCAGCCGCGGUAAUACGUAGGGGGCAAGCGUUAUCCGGAUUUACUGGGUGUAAAGGGAGCGUAGACGGCGAUGCAAGUCUGAAGUGAAAGGCGGGGGCCCAACCCCCGGACUGCUUUGGAAACUGUAUGGCUGGAGUGCAGGAGAGGUAAGUGGAAUUCCUAGUGUAGCGGUGAAAUGCGUAGAUAUUAGGAGGAACACCAGUGGCGAAGGCGGCUUACUGGACUGUAACUGACGUUGAGGCUCGAAAGCGUGGGGAGCAAACAGGAUUAGAUACCCGAGUA
rnacentral:rRNA from 1 species